rnacentral:rRNA from 1 species
GCGGCGUGCCUAAUACAUGCAAGUAGAACGCUGAAGUCUGGUGCUUGCACUAGACGGAUGAGUUGCGAACGGGUGAGUAACGCGUAGGUAACCUGCCUCAUAGCGGGGGAUAACUAUUGGAAACGAUAGCUAAUACCGCAUAACAGUAUUUACCGCAUGGUAGAUACUUGAAAGGAGCAAUUGCUUCACUAUGAGAUGGACCUGCGUUGUAUUAGCUAGUUGGUGAGGUAACGGCUCACCAAGGCAUCGAUACAUAGCCGACCUGAGAGGGUGAUCGGCCACACUGGGACUGAGACACGGCCCAGACUCCUACGGGAGGCAGCAGUAGGGAAUCUUCGGCAAUGGGGGCAACCCUGACCGAGCAACGCCGCGUGAGUGAAGAAGGUUUUCGGAUCGUAAAGCUCUGUUGUAAGAGAAGAACUGUGAGAAGAGUGGAAAGUUUCUCACUUGACGGUAUCUUACCAGAAAGGGACGGCUAACUACGUGCCAGCAGCCGCGGUAAUACGUAGGUCCCGAGCGUUGUCCGGAUUUAUUGGGCGUAAAGCGAGCGCAGGCGGUUUGAUAAGUCUGAAGUAAAAGGCUGUGGCUUAACCAUAGUACGCUUUGGAAACUGUCAAACUUGAGUGCAGAAGGGGAGAGUGGAAUUCCAUGUGUAGCGGUGAAAUGCGUAGAUAUAUGGAGGAACACCGGUGGCGAAAGCGGCUCUCUGGUCUGUAACUGACGCUGAGGCUCGAAAGCGUGGGGAGCGAACAGGAUUAGAUACCCUGGUAGUCCACGCCGUAAACGAUGAGUGCUAGGUGUUGGGUCCUUUCCGGGACUCAGUGCCGCAGCUAACGCAUUAAGCACUCCGCCUGGGGAGUACGACCGCAAGGUUGAAACUCAAAGGAAUUGACGGGGGCCCGCACAAGCGGUGGAGCAUGUGGUUUAAUUCGAAGCAACGCGAAGAACCUUACCAGGUCUU